rnacentral:rRNA from 1 species
AGCAGCCGCGGUAAUUCCAGCUCCAAUAGCGUAUAUUAAAGUUGUUGCAGUUAAAAAGCUCGUAGUUGAACUUCGGGGUUUACCCAUUGGUCAGGCUUAAUUGUCUGUACUGGUGAGAUAAAUCUCUACCUUCUGAGGAACUUUCAUGCCAUUUAGUUGGUGUGAUAGGAAAUCAGGACUGUUACUUUGAAAAAUUAGAGUGUUUAAAGCAGGCUAACGUCUGAAUACAUUAGCAUGGAAUAAUGAAAUAGGACGGAUUGGUUCUAUUUCGUUGGUUUCUAGGAUCACCGUAAUGAUUAAUAGGGAUAGUUGGGGGCAUUAGUAUUCAAUUGUCAGAGGUGAAAUUCUUGGAUUUAUUGAAGACUAACUAUUGCGAAAGCAUUUGCCAAGGAUGUUUUCAUUAAUCAAGAACGAAAGUUAGGGGAUCGAAGACGAUCAGAUACCGUCGUAGUCUUAACCAUAAACUAUGCCGACUAGGGAUCGGACGAAGU